rnacentral:rRNA from 1 species
AUGGAAGCCAUCAAGAGAGUUUUUCCUGUCCAGCACAUAGAUGAUUCCUUUGUUCACUUGAGGCACCCUCUUAUUCUCCCGGCGAAAAACAGAACCUCGGCUUAUAACUUUGUUCUAGAUAAAUUUAAGUCCAAGCUUAGCACUUAUAAAGCUGAUAAACUUUCACAUGUAGCUUGGCUUCAGCUCAUUCAAUCUGUUUUCUCUUCAAUCCCUGUCUAUUACAUGUCUAACAUUUUGUUCUCUAAGAAGUUUAUUGCAAAAUUGACAACCAUCAUCAGGAACUUUUGGUGGACCGGAAUCAGGGAGGAAUCCACUCGUAGCCUCUGCCUCAAAGCUUGGAAAGACAUAUGUGCUCCAAAAAAAGAAGGCGGUUUGGGUAUUAGGAAUUUGCAAGCGGUCAAUCAGAGCUUAAUCCUCAUGUCAGCCUGGCGCAUUGCUCAAAACCCUGAUGAUCAAUUCCACAAAAUCUUGCGAGCCAAGUAUUUUCCAGAUUCAUCUAUCUGGCGCCCAAAGCCAAAUAUCCCCAAAUCAGCUUUCUGGGCCUCUAUCCUUAAAAUCAUUCACAUUCUUAAGGACCAUUCUUUCUAUCGGUUAACUGUAGGCAAUGUUUCUAUUUGGAGUUCACCCUGGUGCUCCUCCUGGACUUCUAUCUACGAAAAUUUAAUCAUUCAACCAUCAAACAUCACUUAUCCUGCUCUUGUCAAGGACUUGUGGCUCCCUAACCAAAACAAAUGGAAUCAUGAGCUUAUUGACACUAUUUUUAGACCUCCAACUGCUCAGGCCAUCAAGUGCACUCCUAUUUUAAAUGCAAAUGAAGAUGAUUUACUUUGCUGGAAGCUAAAAAACAAUGGCAGAUGCCAUGCCAAGAGUGCAUAUUAUGCUUGUGUGCAGGACUUGUAUAUCUCAGGCGAGGAUAAACCGAGACAGCCAUCUCCAACAACAUGCCAAAUCCUUAAUUAG